CGCGAGGUGGAGCAGUAGGUAGCUCGUCGGGCUCAUAACCCGAAGGUCAUCGGUUCGAGUCCGGUCCUCGCUACUA
rnacentral:tRNA from 4 species